UACGGGAGGCAGCAGUGGGGAAUAUUGCACAAUGGGCGAAAGCCUGAUGCAGCUAUGCCGCGUGUAUGAAGAAGGCCUUAGGGUUGUAAAGUACUUUCAUCGGGGAGGAAAAAACAAAACUAAUAAUUUUAUUUCUUGACGUUACCCGAAAAAGAAGCACCGGCUAACUCCGUGCCAGCAGCCGCGGUAAUACGGAGGGUGCUAGCGUUAAUCAGAAUUACUGGGCGUAAAGAGCACGUAGGUGGUUUUUUUAAGUCAGAUGUGAAAUCCCUGGGCUUAACCUAGGAACUGCAUUUUGAAACUGAAAUACUAGAGUAUCGUAGAGGGAGGUAGAAUUCUAGGUGUAGCGGUGAAAUGCGUAGAUAUCUGGAGGAAUACCUGUGGCGAAAGCGGCCUCCUAAACGAAUACUGACACUGAGGGUGCGAAAGCGGUGGGGAGCAAACAGGGAUUAGAUACC
rnacentral:rRNA from 1 species